GUCUUUUUGAUUAUAAUUUAAAGUCUGACCUGCCCUAUGAAUUUAAAAGUUUAAAUGGCUGCGGUAUUUUGACCGUACAAAGGUAGCAUAAUAAUUAGUUUCUUAAUUGGGAACUGGUAUGAAAGGUUGAACGAGAAAAAGACUGUCUCAAUUUAAUUUAAAUUAGAAUUUUAUUUUUAAGUAAAAAAGCUUAAAUAAUUUUAAAAGACGAGAAGACCCUAUAGAGUUUUAUAAAAUUUUAAUUAAUUGAAAGUUUAAGAAUUUAAGAUUUAAUUAGUUAAAAUUUUAUUUGGUUGGGGCGAUUAAAAAAUUUAAUUAACUUUUUUUAAAUAAAAACAUUGAUUUAUGAUUAAGUGAUCCAUUUAUUAUGAUUAUAAGAUUAAAUUACCUUAGGGAUAACAGCGUAAUUUUUUUUGAGAGUUCUUAUCGAAAAAGAAGUUUGCGACCUCGAUGUUGGAUUAAAAUAAACUUUUGGUGUAGAGACUAAAAGAGUUAGGUCUGUUCGACCUUUAAAAUUUUA
rnacentral:rRNA from 1 species